AAGCUACAAUAUUCAUAGUAAUGAAAAUAAAGAAAACUCUUUGAAUGAGAAGGUGUGUCCAAACUUUUGGUCUGUACUGUAUAUGCCCUGAAAAUCACCUCAAUAUAACACAAAAAAUGGAAAAGAAAAAUGCUGAAAGAGGUCCAAGAAACGUUCGAAGUUGUUUUUUUCUUUUAUUAUAUCAUUAUUGUUUACUUGUUUGUUUUGACAAUUAGUGAGAGCAGGUAUGUGUUACAGUAUCAAGAGCAACACUCAGCUUGGAAGUAGAGAGAAACCAGAAACCUCCUCUUUGUCCCAGCAGUUCUGGGCUUCUUAAAGGACCAUUAACCACCACUGACAACAUGCUGUCCCUCUGACCCUAUUUUCUCUACUCCAGGGGUCUCAGAAACCAGAGGCCCUUCCACCUCGCAGAGCAACCCAAGCUGAGUCCAUACGCUCGCCUCCAGGGUCACUGAUGGCAUCUUCCUCCUUCCAGCAGAAGACUGCUGCUCGGCCAAGGGCCCAACAACUCACACCGGCUGUCAGCACGUUGGGAAUCUGAUUGUAUGUGGCAACUGAGACUCAUGAGCUUGUGUCUCUGCAGCUGGGAAAAGACCUCCAGAUAAAUGGCCGGGAUCCACCACCACCUGGAAUGGCAUCAUCUCCAUCUAUACAUGAACCUGUGUUUGCACUGGAUAUCCUCACACACCUUAGUGCUAGUUAUAUAUUGUGCAUUUUCAAUCAUGGGCUUUUGCAUGAUAAAUGUGUGAUACAUUCUAAGGGAUUGGUUUAAUCUAGGAGCAUAUAAGGAUGUUUAUUUAUCCCAUAUAAGUAAAAUGCAAGUUCAGCAUUCUUCAUUGCAGCCAGUGUACUGAAUGUCUAUAUCAUUGUUCCUCAUACUGGGGCGCUGGAUCUGAAAUGAAUAAGCAAUGUACUGAGCUUAUUCGAUAUGAACUUUAAAACAGAUGAUGAAUGAUCUCUUUUACUGAUACUACUACAGACAUCAAGGUAUUCCAAGGUUUUAAAACAUUACGGUUCUGUCAUACCAUUCAUUUGGUUUAUCGUCAUUUUAAUAAAAAGCCAGAUAACAUGCCAGAGGGAAUGGAGUUUUCUCCAGGUGUACGCACGUAUCAUGGGAAUGUCCCUCCCCAACCUGUGGUCACUGGACUUGGAAAUAUUUGCUGUAAUAUUUUUCACAGUUAUGAUAUAGAAAACUAUAGGAGCGCCACCCAUUGCUCUUAUCAAGUUAACACUUUUGGCAAGCUACAAUUGGGAUGUCUGUUAAUCAGUUGUCUGCAGCCUGGAUACCUGAGAACCUCAUGUCAUCUUGUGUUAUUCUAUAAAGAGCAAAAUGGUAUAAUGUUCUGCACAAUAAUCUAACCAAGCUUUGAUCUUUAGUCUCCUUCUUUCAGUAACAGCUUCAGCACUGAAACGUUAUGUGAGCGUGACCUGCCAGCACUUAGAUAUGGUACGUUUGCAGACUGUAGGAUCAAAUUUAUUUAGUUUUCAACUAGCUGGGAACCGAUGGGAACCAGUCAUAUUGAAAAUUGCUGAAUUGCGGACCGAUUUCUCAGUUGUUUUUGCUUUGAAAUAAAAGCAAUUGGAUUAUUCAAUUCAAUUUAAUGUCAUAUAUUGUCCCUGUGACCAAAACAGCACAUGCAAAUGCCCUAGAUGACUUUGGACCAAUAGCUCUUACAUCUAUAUUAAACAAACUCAUGGAACAUCUUUUGAGUGAAAAACUUAUGUCCCUAGUGGCCAACUACAAGGACCCAAUGAGGAUUGCUUACAGAGCCAAUCAAGGGUUAGGGGUAGAGGAUGCCACUCUCCCCCUUCUGGAUAAGGUACAGUGUCAUUGAGAUAAGCCUCAGGCAUAUGUGUGUGUAUUGCUCAAGGACUCAUCUCAUCUCAUUCCCCUUUAAAACGGUUAUGCAUCAGGAAGUUUUAAAGAGAGAAACCUCAACGAAGUCUGUAUCAAAAAUGUUCUAUCCCACACCAGGGUCCUUAACAUUGGUGUUCCACAAGGUUGUUUCUUAUCUCCUCUUCUUUUUUUCCCUCUAUACUAACAAGUUACGAUUUAACAGCAUAGAUUUCUCUCUCAUUAAGUAUGCUAAUAUCAUGGCCCUGGCCGCUGGCCUGAAGGAUGCUGACAGCUCCUACUUUCAGCACAUAAACCAGCUUUCCACCUAGUUCAGUGACAGCUUCCUGGACCUUGAGGUCAGUAAAACCAGGGAGUUAUGCCUGAGAGGAAAGUCAGGAACAUAAGGCACUGGGCCUUUAAGAUCUGUUGUCAUGAGAUGGCAGGCAGUGGAACAAGUCACUGAAUUAAAAUACCUCAGAUACCUCAUAGAUUGCGAGCUGACCUUCCGGCCAAAUUUUGCAUUUGUGUAUAAAAAGGCUAGAGAGUCUCUUUCUCCUAAGGAAGCCAAGGGUCUCCUCACCAGAGACAGGAAAAAGUUGAACUACAAAUGUGUGUGGAAAAAAAAAGAGAGUUUUGUAUUUUUUUUAAGAUACAAUAAUUUUAAGUUUAUAAAGCUAUUACUUUUAGCUAUACAGUUUUAACUGUUUUAUGCAAAUGUUAUACGGGUGACUGUUGUCCAAAAAAAUUAUUGAUUUCUAAUUUAGCAAAUCAUUCUUUUUGUAUUGUUUUAUUAAAAUAAAGUUUUAUCUACCCUU